UUAUCUAGUACAUAAUGUCACCAAAAAAACUUAUUUGUACAUUUUUUUUAUAUUAUAAUAAAAAAAAUCGAAGAAAUAAUACAAGUCAAUUAAAGGUGAGAACUGUUUCAUUGUAAUAUCCUUACAAGUCGAAAUCGUUAUGCGUUAAUCAAAAUUGAAACAGCACCUUUUGUGUCAGGCGGCCUGAUGCGCGCGUGAGCGUCAGACCAUGCUGACGUCAUCUCAUUUUCCCACCCGCAAGUGCUUUCACGCGCAUACAAAUACACAAUUUCAUUUCUCUCUCCUCUUCGUUCAUCUCCUCGCUCCUCCCUCCUCUCUGCGCUCCUCUCUCUCUCUCCUCUCUUUCUCCUCUUUGCGCUCCUAUCUCUCUCGCCAAAGACAACCACCAUGACAGAAGGUUCCAAGGAGCUCCUCCUUGUUCAUCUGCUCAAAACCUAAAGAAAAUCAAACGGCGGAGGAGCAACGGCGGUUUGCGGCUGCUACAUCGAGUUCGCCGCCGACAUCUCUCCCUUAUCAAACUCGUCGGCGAUCUCUCUCCAUUUACGACAACAAUUCGACUGGCGCCAUCGUAGUUCCACCGCCAAUGUCCUUCAGGUGAUCUCGACGGAAGAAUCAACGGCGGUAGAUGCUGAGUGGGAGAUAGAUUGAGUGCCGAAGGAGGGAGGAGAGACGAGGGGAGCAGAGGCGGCGGUUGGACCGCUGGUGGUCGCUGCUGUUGUUAAUGGCCCGCUGGUGGCCCGUUGAUGUUGUUAAUGGACCGGUGGUGGUCGCGCUGGACCGGUGGUGUUUGCCUCGACAAUUCCACCACAGCAAGCUCACACCACCUCAUACUGAAGAAACAACAACCACCUUAACAUCGUCGGCGGCGGUAGAUCAUGAAUUUUGGAAUUUUUUUUCUUUUAUCUUGUUUUUUUUCUUUGAUAAAAGAGGGCAAAGCCCCAGUUUAGUUAUGUUGUAAUUUUAUUUAGUUAUACGUGUGUUUAGUUAAAAAUUAUAUUGUUUUAGUUAUAGUUUUGUUAUAUUUAGUUAUGAAAGAAAUGGUUUAUUUACAUUUUUUUCA